rnacentral:rRNA from 1 species
UACGUUAGGGGGGCAAGCGUUUGUCCGGAAUCAUUGGGCGUAAAGAGCGUGUAGGCGGCCUGGUAAGUCCGCUGUGAAAGUCCAGGGCUCAACCCUGGAAUGCCGGUGGAAACUGUCAGGCUCGAGUCCGGAAGAGGCGAGUGGAAUUCCUGGUGUAGCGGUGAAAUGCGCAGAUAUCAGGAGGAACACCAAUGGCGAAGGCAGCUCGCUGGGACGGUACUGACGCGUGAGACGCG